rnacentral:rRNA from 1 species
GAUGAACGCUGGCGGCGUGCCUAAUACAUGCAAGUCGAACGAAAGGACGAGAAGCUUGCUUCUCUGAUGUUAGCGGAGGACGGGUGAGUAACACGUGGAUACCCUACCUAUAAGACUGGGAACACUUCGGGAAACGGGAGCUUACACCGGAUAAUAUUUUGAACCGCAUGGUUCAAAAGUGAAAGACGGUGUUGCUGUAUCUUAUAGAUGGAUACGCGCUGCAUUAGCUAGUUGGUAAGGUAACGGCUUACCACGGCAACGAUGCAUAGCCGAGCUGAGAGGGGGAUCGGCCACACGGGAGCGGAGACGCGGUCCAGGCGCCUACGGGAGGCAGCAGUAGGGUAUCUGCCGCAAUAGGGGGAAGCCUGACGGAGCAGCGCCGCGUGAGUGAUGAAGGUCUUCGGAUCGUAAAACUCUGUUAUGAGGGAUGAACAGAUGUGUAAGGAACUGUGGACAGCGUGACGGUACCGGAUCAGAAAGCCACGGCUAACUACGUG